CACACAAUAAACCUGUAAAUACUGGUCUUACACCGAUUAGGUCAGCUUUUGCUAAUACCUCGUAGCAGACUAUACUCUCAUUCGAGUGUAAAUUGUAAAAUGCUUCGUUGAUCCAUCCUUGGACGCUGUUACCACCAUACUCUCUCCAAACAGAAAAAUUAUUUGAAUCUGUUGGAUGAAUAUUUUGUAAGUGAUGGUCCCUGAAAUUAGUAUGAGCUAAUUUAUCAACAAUGUAAUAAUGGAAUUGUUGUUACUGUCAAUACUGGAAUUCAGUACACGAACAAAAGCCAUUGGCGCUAAAAUCAGUAUAUAUCAUAUUAUACACAAGGAAUUUUAAUAAUGAAGUAUUUCCGUGAAUUGAAUAUUUGUCAUCAAGAAGAAAUCAAAUCUGGUAGUCCUGCUAGCAGUGCAUUUAAUAUGACUGAGUUGACUUCUUGGUCAGAAAAUGAUUUGUUAACAUGCCAAGAAAACCAAAAGUGUCAGUGGAUGAAGCAACAGAAGUAUUAAAAGAAUUCAUAUUGUUGGGUAAUUUCAAGGAUAAUA